AGUGCAACCUGCAGGGCCAGGGAAAGCUCCUGGGUCCUUGUAGCCAGCGGAAGCCCGGCCUGGAGCAGCAGCAGCACUAUCGUGUGCUCCCUUCUCCGGGCUAUUUCCAGCUCUCUAACUCCCUCUGCAUGACAGCAGCCUGAAUAACAAGGACAUUUGCUUCUGGAACAUGCAAAAGGAGCGUACGUUGAGUUAAAAAAAAAAAAAUAUCUAAAGUGGUAAAUACAGAAAGAGUUAUUAGGCAUUGAAUUUAACUGGGAGUAGUCACAUAAAUAAAUGCUGCAGAACCAGGUGCACAGUACUACUCAGAUGAAAGAAGGGUUAUGCUGUGUUACUAUAGUGAAAACGGCAUUAUGACCCCUCCUAUUCUGCCUUUACAGGCCCAGAUUUCAAAAAUCAUAUUGCUUUCUCUAGUUUUAAUUUUCAGUUACUUCUUGGCAGAUCUAAGAGGUAUUUUUUAAACCACUGCACAUCUACCUGCCUGUAAGCCUUUCUUCAUUAUUACCUCUCUUUCUUUUCUGAAACAAGAGGCAUCCUUUGGAAUUCCAACAAAACAAUAGGGGAAAAAAUGUUUAACAGGAUGCUACACACAAGCUGACAUAAUCCAAACAUUCAUCAGGCUCAACACAGCUCAGAUGGUGAAUUUAUGAGUAAGAAAGUUUAAUGAUAUGAAAAGACUGUAUUAAAACAGCAGAAUUUAUUUAAUUAGAAGAUUUUUGGCAAAUUCUUGUCUUCCACCUCUUUUUUUUUUUUUUUUUGUGCAAGCCUUUAAAAAGUCCAUCUGGAUACUUGUCAAUCCUAUAAAUACAUAUUACAAUGUGCAGCUGUGCAGUAGAGUUCCUAGUUCCUUGACAAGCAUCCUUCACAACUCUGUCACAUUCCUAGUAUGCCUGUGUCACAGAAGGGGGAGCUGAGAAAACUUUUGGAGGAGAACUGGUUUUUAAUUCUCAUGUAUCGACUCUGGUCACUAGGAAAAGACUCUUCAGCCAGAGGGUGGUCUGUCCUUGGACCGAGCUCCCAGGGAAAUGGUCAUGGUGGCAAAUCUGCCUGAGUUCAAGGAGCAUCUGGAUGACAUUCUUGGCCAUUUGGUUUAGCUUUAGGAUGCUGAUCUUACCUGGAGAAAAUGGCAAACUGCUGGAACACUUCAGAGCCCUAAAGAGACAGAUUGUAGCACUCACAUGGGAGCCCAUGGAGACUUUCAGGCAAGCACCAGAGCCACAACCCAAGCAACUUGCAGAAGCUUCAACAGGCCCCAGCAGGGGACACAGUAGAGGCAUUUCAGUACAGGCAAGCAGAGGGAAACAGAACAUGCUUCAUCAAAAAUAAGAGUGCUUGUUUUAUUAUCAUAAUUUCCUUGGCUUUUUUUUUCCUGCUAUAAAAUCAUAAUGUGUUUGUACAAUAUUCUUAUUCUGGGAAUGUAUUUCAGUCCACAUAAACAUCUGCACUUAGUUAUGUUAGCCAGUAUCCAAAUCCCAGCAAGAUCCUGCCCUGAUUAUUUAGCUCUUGAGUGUUUUUGCCAGCUUCUAUUCCCAGAACACAUUGGAUUUAUAGCUAUGUCCAAUCUCCAGCUUUGCUAGUUAGAAAAUUGUAACACACAUGCUCAAAGUGAACAUCUUUUGUACUAGGACAAAGUCUUUCCAGCAGGCUCAAGUAACGAGCCAUUAAAUUGUGCUAGCAUACAUUAGCAGCAGGAAAGUGAACUAUUGUUGGAUGAAAUAUGUUGGUCUGUAUUUUUAAUCACACUCUUUGACCUAAAUCUUUUGUUUGCUUUCCUUGAUAUCUGACCAUAAAAUACAACCCUUGAUUCAAAUGCCAAUAAAACCUGUUGUUGCAAUUUUGCAUAACUCAGUGCAAAAGAACCCAGAACUCAAGUAAAUAACUGCUAAGUCUUUUUUUGGGAUCACUGUGUGCUUUUGUCUGCUGCCUUGAAGAGCUAGAUCCAAGCCAUUAAUAAAACAGAGAUAUAUACAGUUUCAUCUGAGAAGACAAACAAAAACAUGCAGGAUAUAAAUCAAAACAGAGAUUUGAAAAAGAAUAGAGUAAGCACUUACUAAGCCAAAAACAUAUUGUUCUUGUGAAGAAGCCUGCUCUGACCACUGUGCUUUCU